rnacentral:lncRNA from 1 species
ACGAACAAGGUCGACGUGUACAGUUUUGGCGUCGUUCUAUGGGAGUUGUUAACUAAUCGAAUGCCAUUCGAAGGCAUGUCUAACUUACAAGCUGCUUAUGCUGCUGCUUUUAAGGUAAAGACCUAACCUAACCUGACCUAACCUAACCUCUUUUUUAUUACUAAGUGGCACUGAUCCUAUCUGCACUGCUGCUGUGCUGAUUGCUCAUUAAAAAAAAAGCAAAUUAGACCAACAUUGGCGGAGGACAUGCCAUCUGAGCUCGCAUGUAUCAUCCAAUCAUGCUGGACGGAGGAUCCCAA